GGGAGGAAAAGAAACCAACUGGGAUUACCUUAGUAACGGCGAGUGAAGCGGUAAAAGCUCAAAUUUGAAAUCUGGUACUUUCAGUGCCCGAGUUGUAAUUUGUAGAAUUUGUCUUUGAUUAGGUCCUUGUCUAUGUUCCUUGGAACAGGACGUCAUAGAGGGUGAGAAUCCCGUUUGGCGAGGAUACCUUUUCUCUGUAAGACUUUUUCGAAGAGUCGAGUUGUUUGGGAAUGCAGCUCAAAGUGGGUGGUAAAUUCCAUCUAAAGCUAAAUAUUGGCGAGAGACCGAUAGCGAACAAGUACAGUGAUGGAAAGAUGAAAAGAACUUUGAAAAGAGAGUGAAAAAGUACGUGAAAUUGUUGAAAGGGAAGGGCAUUUGAUCAGACAUGGUGUUUUUUGCAUGCACUCGCCUCUCGUGGGCUUGGGCCUCUCAAAAAUUUCACUGGGCCAACAUCAAUUCUGGCAGCAGGAUAAAUCAUUAAGAAUGUAGCUACUUCGGUAGUGUUAUAGCUUUUUGGAAUACUGUUAGCCGGGAUUGAGGACUGCGCUCGGC
rnacentral:rRNA from 1 species